rnacentral:rRNA from 1 species
GGAUACCCGAGGGAAACUUCGGUUAAUACGGUAUAAGACCACACUACCGCAUGGUAGAGGGGUAAAAGGGGCAACCUGGUAUGAGAUGGACUCGCGUCGCAUUAGCUAGUUGGUGAGGUAACGGCCCACCAAGGCGACGAUGCGUAGCCGACCUGAGAGGGUGAUCGGCCACAUUGGGACUGAGAUACGGCCCAGACUCCUACGGGAGGCAGCAGUGGGGAAUAUUGGGCAAUGGAGGAAACUCUGACCCAGCAAUGCCGCGUGAAUGAAGAAGGUCUUCGGAUUGUAAAGUUCUUUAGUCAGGGAAGAAGUCAAUGACGGUACCUGAAGAAUAAGCUCCGGCUAACUACGUGCCAGCAGCCGCGGUAAUACGUAGGGAGCAAGCGUUGUUCGGAAUGACUGGGCGUAAAGGGUGCGUAGGCGGUUGUACAAGUUAGAAGUGAAAUACCCAGGGCUUAACUCGGGUGCUGCUUCUAAAACUGUAUGACUUGAGUGCAGUAGAGGUUAGUGGAAUUCCUAGUGUAGCGGUGGAAUGCGUAGAUAUUAGGAGGAACACCAGAGGCGAAGGCGGCUAACUGGACUGCAACUGACGCUGAGGCACGAAAGUGUGGGGAGCAAACAGGAUUAGAUACCCUGGUAGUCCACACUGUAAACGAUGGAUACUGGAUGUAGGAGGUAUCGACUCCUUCUGCGUCGCA